rnacentral:rRNA from 1 species
GACGAACGCUGGCGGCGUGCUUAACACAUGCAAGUCGAACGGAAAGGCCCUGCUUUUGUGGGGUGCUCGAGUGGCGAACGGGUGAGUAACACGUGAGUAACCUGCCCUUGACUUUGGGAUAACUUCAGGAAACUGGGGCUAAUAUCGGACAGGAGCUCCUGCUGCAUGGUGGGGGUUGGAAAGUUUCGGCGGUUGGGGAUGGACUCGCGGCUUAGCAGCUUGUUGGUGGGGUAGUGGCUUACCAAGGCUUUGACGGGUAGCCGGCCUGAGAGGGUGACCGGCCACAUUGGGACUGGGGUGCGGCCCAGAGUGCUACGGGAGGCAGCAGUGGGGAAUAUAGCACGAUGGGCGGAAGGCGGAUGGAGCAACGCCGCGUGCGGGAGGACGGCCUUCGGGUUGUAAACCGCGUUCGCCUGUGACGAAGCGUGAGUGACGGUAAUGGGUAAAGAAGCACCGGCUAACUACGUG